rnacentral:piRNA from 1 species
UUAUAGGAGUUUGCAGCAGCACAGACAGUU